UAGAGACAGGAUUUUGCCAUGUUGCCCAGGCUUGAACUCCUGGGCUCAAGUGAUCUGCCCACCUCAGCCUCCCAAGGUGCUGGGAUUACAGGGUAAGCCACAGCACAGCUCCAGCUGCAUCUGAUGUCACUGCUAUGGCAGUGAAGAAUGAAAACCAAAGGACAACUGGCUACUUAAGGAAUUAAGCGGACUAAAAUGAAAACCAUUCACAGAAGCAGUUCCAGUACUCUGGCUGAGACUCUGUUUUCCUACAUACAGCCCACACAUUCUGAAUAUACUCAAAUCUACGCAAUUUCAAACUUAGAAAACUUUAACUGCUGCCCCACUGAAGCCAUUUUCAAGCUGGAAUCAUGUAUAAUAAACUACUCCA
rnacentral:lncRNA from 1 species